rnacentral:rRNA from 1 species
AAGCUCGUAGUUGAAUUUCGGGAUCAGUGGGUUGGUCGUGCCUCCGGUACGUACUGGCCCUACCGGUUCCUCCCUUCUGACGAACCACGAUGUCAUUAAUUUGGUGUCGUGGGGAAUCAGGACUGUUACUUUGAAAAAAUUAGAGUGUUUAAAGCAGGCUAAAGCUUGAAUAGAUUAGCAUGGAAUAACGAAAUAGGACGUUUGAUCUUAUUUUGUUGGUUUCUAAGAUCGACGUAAUGAUUAAUAGGGAUAGUUGGG